rnacentral:rRNA from 1 species
UCAAAGUAGGCAAAUCCGCUUUGAUAAUGCUGGGAUGUGAUGGGGAGCGAAAUUUAGUAGCGAAGUAGCUGAUUUCACACUGUCAAGAAAAGUCUCUAUCGAGGUUAAAGGUACCCGUACCGCAAACCGACACAGGUGGGUGAGGAGAGUAUCCUAAGGCCAGCGAGAGAACUGUUGUUAAGGAACUCGGCAAAAUGACCCCGUAACUUA